rnacentral:rRNA from 1 species
ACACGUGAACAACCUACCCCUUCAUUCCGGAUAAUUGGCUGAAAAGCCUUGUAAUACGGGGGAGGAUCCAGAUUAGGCAUCUUAACUGGAUCGAACAAGCAAUUGGUGCAGGGCGGGGUUCGCGGAUUAUCAGGUAGUUGGUGAGGUAACGGCUCACCAAGCCUACGACGAUUAGCUGGUCUGAGAGGAUGGUCAGCCACAUUGGAACUGAGAUACUGUCCAGACUCCUACGGGAGGCUGCAGUCGAGAAUCUUGGGCAAUGCACGAAAGUGUGACCCAGCGACGCCGCGUGAAGGAUGAAGGCCCUCUGGGUUGUAAACUUCUUUUACGGGAGAAGAAACAAUGACGGUAUCCCGUGAAUAAGCCACGGCUAACUACGUGCCAGCAGCCGCGGUAAUACGUAGGUGGCAAGCGUUGUCCGGAUUUACUGGGCGUAAAGCGAACGCAGGCGGACUGUUAAGUAGGAAGUGAAAGGUUGGAGCUCAACUCCAACAUUGCUCCCUAUACUGGCAGUCUUGAGUAGCGGAGAGGAAGGGGGAACGACACGUGUAGCGGUGAAAUGCGUUGAUAUGUGUCGGAACACCCAUGGCGAAAGCACCCUUCUGGACGCAAACUGACGCUCAGGUUCGAAAGCUAAAGUAGCGAACAGGAUUAGAUACCCUGGUAGUCUUAGCCCUAAACUAUGUUCACUAGGUGUCGGGGGGUUUCCUUCGGUGCCGCAGCUAACGCAUUA